rnacentral:rRNA from 1 species
AUUGAACGCUGGCGGCAGGCCUAACACAUGCAAGUCGAGCGGCAGCGGGAAAGUAGCUUGCUACUUUUGCCGGCGAGCGGCGGACGGGUGAGUAAUGCCUGGGAAAUUGCCCAGUCGAGGGGGAUAACAGUUGGAAACGACUGCUAAUACCGCAUACGCCCUACGGGGGAAAGCAGGGGACCUUCGGGCCUUGCGCGAUUGGAUAUGCCCAGGUGGGAUUAGCUAGUUGGUGGGGUAAUGGCUCGCCAAGGCGACGAUCCCUAGCUGGUCUGGGAGGAUGAUCAGCCACACUGGAACUGAGACACGGUCCAGACUCCUACGGGAGGCAGCAGUGGGGAAUAUUGCACAAUGGGGGAAACCCUGAUGCAGCCAUGCCGCGUGUGUGAAGAAGGCCUUCGGGUUGUAAAGCACUUUCAGCGAGGAGGAAAGGUUGUUGGCUAAUACCCAGCAGCUGUGACGUUACUCGCAGAAGAAGCACCGGCUAACUCCGUGCCAGCCGCCGCGGUAAGAC